CAAUAUAAAUCUAUAGCAGUUAUAAGUUCUCCUGGUAUACGUUGAUAUACACUCAUGGUGAAAAUAAUAGGCAUACCUAGGGACACGAAAAAAGUAUAGAUAUUUUCGGUAUCGGAUACAUUGGGGCGAUGAUACCGAUACUUUUUACUGGAUGUUUUGGUUUCGAUAUUUGUAUUUAUCAAGUAUCUCUAAAGCCAUAUCGAGUAAAGAAAAAUAAGCGGGAUCACGUCAAGCUCGCCAGCCAAUCUGCGCGUAAUUUGAGACUCCGUUAGUUGAAUCAUUAAAAAAAAGUUAAAACAGUGAAUUAUUAUCGAAGUAAAUUUGAUUUAUAGUUAAAAAUGCCACAAAGCCGCAGUAGUGUUUGGCAGUACUUCACCAGAAUACGCAAAGACAAGGUGAAGUGCAAAAUUUGCUUCAAAACUCUUAAAUUAUCAGGAAACACCUCACACAUGCAUAAGCAUAUAAAGAGCCACCCCGAAGUGAGUGCAAAAGAAACUGGAAAAAAACUAUCAACUUUUACAAGAGAUCUUGAUCCAAUAAGUUCAAGUCAUGAAACUGAGCCGCAUAAGUAUUGUAUAAGUAUUUUGAGACCACUAGAGAAUGUUACCGAUGGUGAAUACCUUGAAGAACCAGAUUAAUAAUGUACAUGUGGAUGUAGAUGCGGACGACGGUGAUAUGGCAGUCAUACAUGCCGUAAGGAAAGAAAUAAUUAAACAAUUGGAACGCCGAUUCGGAUCCAUCGAAAAAAACCACCUAAUUGCGAUAGCUUGUUUACUGGAUCCAAGAUUCAAAAAUAGCCCUUUUAAAGCUUGUACGAAAGCAAUUAAUUUGCUAAGAAAAUGUAUAUUAUCCAGCCCUAAUUCUCUCUCCAGUGAGAAUGAGAGUGAUACUUCCAUAGACUCGGCAAACAAUCUUUGGAGUGAUUAUAAGAAGUGGACGCACGCAGGGAAGCAGACCAAAAAAACAAGAUCUACAAUGAACGAUGACGAAGUAGGUCGCUACCUAUCUACCCAUGUUUUACCACUUUCCAUCGACCCUUUAAAACAAUGGGGUGAUAUGAAAGUAGUUUAUCCCAAACUAUACAACUUAGCUCAAAAGUAUUUGGGAAUUCCCGCGACGUCCGUGCCCUCUGAGCGCCUUUUCUCCAAAGCUGGAAGUACCAUAACCAAAACUCGCAGCCGACUGUCACCCAAAAGGCUUGAAAAACUUCUUUUUUUAGGCGAUUGUGCAGAGGAGGAAUGGAAUAUAUAACUUAACAUAACUUCAUUGUACUAUGUAAUAAUUGAAAAUUUUCUUGUAACUUUUACUUUUUAAUUUAAAAAACAUGAAAUAUAUCCUAGAUUUAAUAAACAUUUCAUCCAAAUAUAAAUACCCGAUACCUUGCAACAUCGAUA